rnacentral:rRNA from 1 species
GAGUUUGAUCUUGGCUCAGAACGAACGCUGGCGGCAGGCCUAAUACAUGCAAGUCGAGCGCCCAGCAAUGGGAGCGGCGCACGGGUGCGUAACGCGUGGGAACAUACCCUUGGGUGCGGAACAACGUCGGGAAACUGACGCUAAUACCGCAUAAUAUCUCCGGAUCAAAGAUUUAUCGCCCAGGGAUUGGCCCGCGUAAGAUUAGCUAGUUGGUGAGGUAAUGGCUCACCAAGGCUACGAUCUUUAGCUGGUCUGAGAGGAUGAUCAGCCACACUGGGACUGAGACACGGCCCAGACUCCUACGGGAGGCAGCAGUAAGGAAUAUUGGACAAUGGAGGCAACUCUGAUCCAGCCAUGCCGCGUGAGUGAUGAAGGCCUUCGGGUUGUAAAGCUCUUUUAGAUGUGACGAUGAUGACGGUAGCAUCAGAAAAAGACUCCGGCUAACUUCG